rnacentral:sRNA from 1 species
GCUAUUCCGGGCCCGGCCCGCUCCGGGCCCUCCCAGCGUCGCCGCUAGCUGACUUAGGGCUACCGCCCACACUGCGCACGGCCUUGCUGAGGGCCGGCUGGUAGUGGGAGGCUUCGCGUUCACCUGAACAUUUCCGCCUCCUCUGGAUGGGGGAUGAGAGGCGGGGCUGAUGCAUCGCCCCAGUCCUAGACCCUGACUUCGGACUUGGAGAAGAAACGCCGAGGAGGAACGGGAGUUAGGGGGCUAGCAUCUUGGCGGGCUGGGAGCCGCUCACCCCUGGCCUCCGGACUUCACUUCCCAGGAGGCCUCGCGCGCGACUGGAAGUGCUGCGAGCCUAUAAGAAGGCGAGGCUGCGCCCGCCGCUUGUUCUGGGGUGGCAUUGCCAGCCGGCUGUAGGCAUUUGGGGCAGUGUCUUCUGCAUCUCCUAGGAACCUCGGGAGCGGCAGCUCCGGCGCCUGGUAGCGAGAGGCGGGUUCCGGAGAUCCCGGCCUCACUUCGUCCCACUGUGGUUAGGGGUGAGUCCUGCAAAUGUUAAGUGAUUUGCUCAAGGUGCCCAUUUUGCAGGAAUUGGAGCCCAGGCCAGUUCUCUGAGCCUAUCAUUAGGGCUAAAGCCAGAGAACUGGGUGCACCUGAGCCAGUGGAGACUUGUGACUUCUCCUUCUU